CCUACGGGAGGCAGCAGUGGGGGAUAUUGCACAAUGGGGGAAACCCUGAUGCAGCGACGCCGCGUGUGGGAAGACGGUCCUCUGGAUUGUAAACCACUGUCCCCAGGGACGAAGAUGACGGGACCUGGGGAGGAAGCACCGGCUAACUACGUGCCAGCAGCCGCGGUAAUACGUAGGGAGCGAGCGUUGUCCGGAAUUACUGGGUGUAAAGGGAGGGGAGACGGCGAUGCAAGGCUGACGGGAAAGGCGGGGGCCAAACCCCCGGACUGCUUUGGAAACUGUAUGGCUGGAGUGCAGGCGAGGUCAGUGGAAUUCCUAGUGUAGCGGUGCACUGCGUAGAUCUUAGGCGGCACACCAGUGGCGCAGGCGGCUUACUGGACUGUACCUGCCGUUGAGGCUCGAAAGCGUGGGGAGCAAACAGGAUUAGAUACCCGAGUAGUC
rnacentral:rRNA from 1 species